AUGAAGUACGGCGUUCAUUCGCCUCGCAGCACAGAACCGGGCAGCAGUGCCGCGGUACAGCCGAACGCAGACCGCCAACCCGCAGCCCAGCCCGUCACAGCGGGGGCGGUGCCAAGGCCGACGGCGCAGGCGCAAACGGGAGCGGGGAGGCAGCGUGAGCCCGUUACCCCGGCAACGCCGCCCCGCCCACUCGCCGCGUCCCGUCCCGGUUUUCCCAGGAUACCCUGCGGGGCCGCGGCGGGCGGCGGCGCGAGCGGGCGGCAAGGUGAGGCGAGGCGGGGCGCGGCGCCAUUUUUAAAUUCCUGGCGGGGGCGGCUGGGCGGCUUGAGGUGUGUUGUGGGGCGGGAGGGGGUUUCCUGCUUGGGGUUCGGCUGUGCGGCGUGCGCUCAGCCUUCCCAGGCCUUGCUCUGUUCGUCCGGCGGCGUCGUUCCGCUGCAGGGGUCUGUAAAGCGGGGAGGAGCGGGCAACGCGUCUCAGAGAGAGGUUGUCUCGGUCUCGUGUCCCGUGUGGGGCUGCGGGGCUGCAACUUCCCAGCGUCCGAAGUUCAGGGGCAGAAGAGUGCCAGGCUUCCGUGUUUCUCAAGUUAUGCUCAGUUUUGUGUUAGUUUUCAUUGACUGUGGUGUUGGUGGGAAGUCUGAUCCCUGCUGUGCUGCAGAGGCAUGUCAGCAGAUAAUUUUCAUCUAGUUUGUAGUUUGGGGCUUUCUAGAAUCAAAUGCUGAGCAUUUAAGGCAGGUCUGUGGAAGAUUUGGGGACUAGAAUGCAGGAGAAUGUGAUGUGUCCAGCUCCAAAUGUGAAGAAGGUGAGGUACUUACUGAUGCUGGAGAAGUAAGUUGUUUUGUUCACACUGCCACUUAAGCACCAGUCUGUUAUGCUGAAAGCAUAAUGGCAGAGCAGUUGUUUUAAAUCUUAUAACUUCCCUAAAAUUCACUUGUGGCCCUCCUUCCCCACAUCCUCUAGAAGCUGCAGCAAUGAUCAGUCUAAGGCAAUAUCUUGCUCUGAAUACCAAAAAGAUUUGGUGAGGUAUAUUAUAUUAUUAUAAUACUUCCUUGUUUCUCAGCAUCUGGUGAUUUGCAGCUUUCUCACAUCCCCCUGAGAUUGUCAUAUUUAGCAAAACUCUUGCUGGAAAGUUCACAAAAACCCACCAUGUGAACUUCAAAAAUGAGGAAGUGAUAUGUGUUGGUGAUACGUGUUGGAGCUAAACUUUGGGUAGUCUGGAAGGUGGGUGCCCAUGAAAUCAUUCCUCUUUUCCAGAAAGGGCUUGGUAGAACCUCAGCAGUGGGGAUUGUCCCUGUUCUUCCAGCUGAUGUGAUGGUGUGCUGAGCAGCGUGAUGUAGAUAGGUAGUGAGAAACACUGUGAUUGUGAUAAGCAAAAGCUGUUUGUGUCUGAUGUCUCUGUCUUCUCCUUGAACCGUAGUCAGCAGGACAAAAUGAACUCCAUGCUCGGAUUCCCAGCAUACAGAAUAAGUAAAAAAAGCAUUUUAUAUGGUCUGGGACUGGCAAGAUGCUUGUGCUUGUUUUGUACUGACUCAAAUAAUCUCCUCCUAACUUAAUUAUGUGUCCCUGAGAGAGUACAAGCAGGGAAUAGCUGCCUUUUCAGCAGGAGAUUUCUGAUAUGAGUUACAGCGGAGCCAGGAUUCUUCUGUAUUGAAAGCAAAAAUGGCAUGUGAAGCCUUUGAGCAGUGAG
ensembl:lncRNA